rnacentral:snRNA from 1 species
GUGCUCACGUUGAUAGCACAUAUGCUAAAUUGGGAUGAUGCACAGAAGAUUACCAUGGCCUCUGUGCAAGGAUGAUGCACACAUUCGUGAAGUGGUCAUUAAAGUUUUUU